rnacentral:lncRNA from 1 species
UACAAUAGUUAAACAAGGACACGUGUAUACUUGUUUGCUUUAGUUUUGGCCACGCUUAUUCCGUUCAGUGUAUGCACCAUGCUGGCUAUAUAUCCCUUACAUGUGAGGUAACUAGCAAGCGUGUACAUUCGAACGUCCAUUCUCUUGGUGUAUUAAAUCAUAAGGAGCAUACUGAUGAGAGACUCUCAGAAGGAGAAAAUAGUUAUCGUGAAGAAUAUUAACUGACGAUGGAAACAUGCAGUACGCGAAGAAAAUUAUUCAAUCGGUGAUAUUCUGGAUGAUGAUCGGCGAUGAGAUAUCCGUUUCCGUUACACUUCAAGUCAUCGAAGAGAUGAGGACCGACAGGAUGACAGAGGGAGGCACAGGCAUCAGAUUGUUCAGACGAAGAGGAGGUGGAGGUGCAGUGGCCGCCAUCGGCGGAGGGUCGCAGGCUGGCCACGGCUCGCAGAUGGUGGGGGGGUCCACCGCGGCACCGCCGCCAGCACCACCGCCGACGCCGCCGCCACCCCCACCUCCCCCCUCGCCACCGGCAGCUCCACCUCCGACGGAUCCCCCGCCUCCCGCUCCUCCAGCUCACAUACCCCGAGGCCCGACCCUGACGGGGGGCGUCCAUCCUCCAGAUGAGGAGUUACCGGCAGAGCCCCCUGAGUGGGAUGAGAAAAACGACCCGACUGACGCGGAAAUCGCAAAAACGCUCAAGUACCACGGCAAAAGGAUCUGGAAGAAGGGCCCGUGCAAGAAGUACAAGGAAAACAGCAACAGCAAACCCAACAGACGGAGGAAGAAAGGUUGCAUAAAAGCGGGCAAUCACUUCAGAGAAAAAGCCGCAGAGAUCCCGUCGCAAAAUUGCCCUGACCCGGGUGGGCACGCUGCUUUCAAUUCGAGAACAUGAAGGGAAGGUGCUACAUCCUCACCAACGUCCACGACCCAAAGAAAAUCAAGUGGGUGCUCCUCACGAAAUGUUGAAGAAUCUUACUUCCAAUUGAACGUAUUUCUACCAAACGGAGCUAUGUGCAUACAUGAGCCCUGAGGCCCAUAAGAAUAUAUGCAUAAUAGGGCUCACGUCAUGAUGCACUUAGUUCCGUUCGGCAGAAAUGCGUCCAAUUACCUUGUUCGGUGACGGGAAAAAGCUGAUUUUGAUGUCAGUUAUAAAUGUUGUUUGCCCCAGUCAGGAAUGUAGUUAUGUCGACAGAAAAUGAAGUUGAAUUGACUAAUAUGUGACUGACUCAAUAAGGUAUCAAUGAUUACACGUCUAUGUCAACGACGACUUCAAGGAAAAACGCUGGCAGCUCCUCUUAAAACAUAGAAGUUUUUCGCAUAAUAUGGACUUCCUUUAGACUGUGUUAAGCAGAAAGUAACCAAACUACAUCAGCUUUUGCCAAAUUUAACUUGACAAUUUAAUUUUUUAUACAAAAACGGUUGUGCGGAUUGUUGUGCAAAUUUCAGUGCAUUUCCUGCAUGAUACGCAACAAGUGCCUUAAAAUUUUCAAAGCCAGCCGCCCAAACGUUCUCUUGUAAAAAAUUAAAAUGUCCGUUUAAAUUUGGUAAUAGCUGAUUUGGCUUGAUUACUUUCUGCUUAAUAUAGUCCAUUUAACAAUGAGAAACUGCUAUUUCUGACCGGUGCGUAAAAGUAAAAAUCUGAAUACGGAGACUGGUGACCAAAAUAUGGUUUUCAAAAUAGGUCAGGAAUGGUGGUUUCUCAUCGUGAAGUACAGUUCAAAUACGAGAUUGCUGAUUCUAGACGGAAUUCUCUUUUAGGCGUUGUUCGCAGCUAACUGGUAAUGAAUUGUUCAUGGGUGAUUGACACUCAUUGGCUGCAUGCUAUUGUUUAAGGAUGUUUUAAUAAAUGGUCUCAUUUCAAUUUAUUAAAACAAACUCUAUGAAGAUGUGCACUUAUCUGUAAAAAAAUUUAAGUAGACAACUUUAUUUCUGCCAAAAACCAUCGUUUUGGACAAUCAACGAGCAGUUCUCACUUCGUCAAAAAUCUUGAGCAAAAUACUACCUCAAACCUAGCAUCAGCACUAUGUAAUUUUAGUUGACUUCAUCCGUUAAAUUAAUUUUUCAUUUUUGAAAAUAUGACAUUGUCUGCCUUAUACAAUGUCUUUAAAUGUGCUGAAGUAGCAGGUCAUGUAUUUAAACAUGGUGAUGAAUUGUCUAUGGGUGAUCGGCACUAAUCGGCUGCAUGCUAUUAUUGAAGGAUGUUUUAAUAAAUAGUCUCAUUUCAAUACACAUUCAAUUUGUUAAAACAAAUUCUAUAAAGAUGUGUCAAACAAUCUUUUCCGAUUGUGAGAGGCCAGGUAAUGGAAUUUUGUCGGUAUGUAUUAAUCGCUACAUAAAUAUCUCUUAAAAUUUUGCUCUUUGAUGGCAACAGUCGUAUGGGUCAAAAAUAAAUAUUAGCCAUUCAUUGCUCCAGCAAUCGUGGAAACUUUUUGUUUUUGGGGGAUUCAUCAUUUUCCAUCUUUGUGUCAACACUGAUGUUACUUCCUUAUUGACUGUUAGGUUGUGUUAUGGACGGCAUGACUCCCCAACAACUUCACCCAACUGCUGAUUGUUAGCUCAACAACCAACAUAAAAAGAGAGUAAUUUCAAGUGUUAAGUGGUGGAGCUUAGACAGCAGAAAUUUUCCGUUAUGAAAAUAGCACAAUGACGCCUGUAAGGUGUUCAUGAAAUAUCUCCGAAAACAAUAAAAUGUUUCAAGGGCGUUUCUAUGAAACGGAGGAAAAUCUAGAACAUCUAAAAUAAGACUAUGUAACUUUUAAGGAGUUAAGUUAUGGUAAAAUUUGUCCUUUUUUUAGAGUGCAAUGAGAUACUUUUCAAUACUAUAGUU